rnacentral:lncRNA from 1 species
UUGAUACAGUCUCAAAAUAUAAGGAACAUAUGGAAUCCAAGAUUUCAGAGAUGAAAAACAAGCUCUCAGAGACUGCUGCUGCUGUCUCUGAUGCUUACAAGCAUUUCUUGCCAGCACAAUUUGGCAUCAACCUCGAUGCUAUAAUAACUUAAAAGAAAUUAUUGUAAAGAGUAUCUAAUCCAACUAUGGUGAAACUUUUAUGUCUUCUAAGUCUCUGUUUGCUUUUAAUUUUCUUUAUCUAAUAUGUUUAGACCAGCAAUAUGACUCAGAAACUUGAUUUUGGAAUAUAAUAUAUAUAUAUAUAUAAUAAGUUUUAUGAACUUGUUACAUUAUCAAAUAUCUGAAGGUGCUUGUGUUCAAGGGUGGCUCUUUUCCUUCAUCUUGUUUUAAAGAAAAUUUGGUGAAGUGAUUCAAUAUUGUUAGGCUCCCUUUUCAGUUUUCACAAAAGCUAUCAAAAGUUGAAAAUAAUUGCACAGGGAAAUUACCCUUUAAAUUAACCAAAAAAAAAAAGGGGUUAUGGAAGCCACUCUGUUUAUCAGAGCCUGGUUUCGAUCCAGGGACCUGUGGGUUAUGGGCCCACCACGCUUCCGCUGCGCCACUCUGAUUGUUGUGAGUUAAUAAGAAAACUAUUAUAUUUAAUUUAGUGCUUUUGGAAACAGAUAAAUUUAUUCAUUAUUCAAAAAUAGUUUAUAAAAGAUUAAUAUUAUCAAAUAAAAAAAUCUUAAGCCACACCUACCAGCAGUUCGAAAUUCGAAAUUAAAUUGUACCAGUAAUGGAGAAGUUAGCAAUGUUAUCAAUUUACGUUUAAUUGUAUAAUUUUGAUAAAAAUUGAGACGAAAUAAAUAACAAGCUUAAUCGACUCUCUAAUGAAAUAUUUUUCUUUUUUAACCUUUUGCCCAAAAAAUGAACAAUGAAAGAACAAACAUAAUCAUCAGAAAACAUGCAUUAAAGAACAUUUUCAUUGGGAUACAAUAAUUGCACAAAUUUUACAUUUCUUUGAUUGCAGAAUUGCCUUCUUUUUUGUUUCCCAGUACAAUCUGUACAUUAUAUUUUAUAUGUACAGUUACUCACCACCCUGAUUGCCCCCCUGUGCCUAUACAUCUGUCCCAUGAGGAAAAAAAUAGGUCAAAAAAUUACUAGCCUUUUGAUCACUAACUAGAGCUAGAAAUUACACACCAGAAAGACCAUUUGCAUGGAACUAAUUCUUCAAGAUAACGUGUCCAAUGACCAUUCCAUUCCCUAGGCCAAGAAUUGUCCAACAGGUAAGAUGAAGGUGAUGCAUCCAUGGAUAGUAUGAGAUCAGUAGCUGUUCUUGGAAAUAUUGCCCAAGUUAAUACGGACAUGGAUGAACACUGGCAUUGUGUCCCAUUGCUCCUUUAGAACAAAAACAAUGAAUUUAGUAGCAGUACUACAGUGAAGCAAAUGAAGCUAAUUGAUGCAAUAGCUUGAGUAAUUACAAUAAAAGUUUCCUUCAAAUGCAUUCUAGUAAUGUCAAAUUAGAUAUAACUCCAACCGAAAAAAAAAAAAAAAAAGCAAAAAGAACAUCUACUAUUGUCAAUAGCAGGAUGAGUGCUUCUAACUUACCUCAACAUAUAUGUACCUCACAGAUUGAUCAUAAUUUUUCAAGGCUGUAAGCUGCUAAAUCGAGGAGAAGAAGGAGUAGAGAAAGUUUCAUGUGGCCUUUUCACAAAUGGAUGGUCUAACAGCUGAGCUGCUGUAGGCCGAUUAGUCGGAUUCACUUGUAAGCAUCUCAGAAUGAAAUCCCUGGCAUCUGUUGAUAAAGAAUCGGCAAUUGGAGGAGGUUCACCCUUGCCAAUCCUAAACAGUGCUUGCAUCUGUCACUCACAUAAGAAAAAUAACAUUUCUAAAUUCCAAUAAAUUUCAGAAAUAGUACAGUUUAUGAACUUUUAACUUCAGACAUCUCGAUCAAAUUGAAUAUCUUAAUAUUUUUUAGAAAAAAGAAAAGGAAAAAGAAAAAAGAACAUGAAAAGUGAUCUACACAAGAAAGUCAACAGGAAGCAUUUCAAGGUUGACGAGUAGCAAACAAAUACUUACGCCUUCCAAGUGAGAGUAUGGCGGUCGACCAGUUAACAAUUCCAGAACAGUACAUCCAAGGCUCCAUAUAUCAGCAGCAAGUCCAUAGCCACGAUUCUUUAAAUUAACAACCUACAGUUGCAUGAUUAAACUGUCAAGUUGUAAACCUAUAGCACCUCAUGCACAAAAAACACCCAAGCAUACAAUGGCUAUAAAUGAAGCGAAAGAAGAGUUAAAACUUCAUAACAUUGAGGUAAGAUUGCUGUUGCAGUACUGCUUAAAAAGAGCAAAAAAAGCCAACACUUUCUAGAGAAAGUAAAUCUCCGGAUUCAAUUGUGUAAAUUUUUCCUCUAUAAGUAACUUACUUAGCAAAGAUUGGUUGUGUAUAGGAUGAUCACAUUGCAAUCACUCUGAUAUAGGUGUUUUGAAAAAUUUAAUGAACACGAUUGAGUGUGUAAUUUCAUGUCAAAGCAAAGAAGGCCGCUAAAAUUAAGUUAACAUAAAAUACCAGUUAAUGCCAUGGAUGCAAAUACAUUUGUUUUUUAACUCAAACUUCCAGCAUGAUGUUCUUUUACAAGACACUAUAAAUUAAAACAUACAAACUACAUGAUACAAAGAUGGGAGAAAAAAGAAAAGAAGAUGCAAGAAAAAAAAAAAAAAAAAGCUAAAAGUUUAAAACAUCUACACAAUCUGUAAUACAGGCAAACAAAAGGAGGCAAACCUCUGGGGCCAUCCAAAAUACAGUCCCCUUGCAGGAUUUAACAUCAUUCAUCGUAGUUGCCUAAGAGCCAAACCAAAAAUAAUAAAGUAAGAAGUAAGACAUUGUUGAUUUUUUUACACUAUAUCAGGAGAGAGAUUAUGUAAAAAUAGGGCACCUUUGCCAACCCAAAGUCUGCAAGUUUUACAGAUCCAUUUGCAUCCACCAAUAUAUUAGCACAUUUAAUAUCCCUUGAUAAUGAAAAGUUAAAAAAAGGCAAACAUUAGAAAAGAGUAAUUUACAACUAUACAGAAGAAGUUUCAAAUGCACAUCAGAUAAGAUUUAUUUAUUCAUUUUGAGAAAUAUUAAAUUCACCAGGAACAUUAACUUCUAUCCUUACUCUUGCAUCUUCUUUGUUGAAGUCUAUAAUUCACAAUUUUACAUAAUGAAAUUUCAUAAAAUCAUAAAUGUAAGUAGCAGGAAGGAUUAUUUUCUUUUUCUCAUGUCUAGUAUGCUACUGAAUUUUCUUUAGGCUUUUGCUUAUUUCAUGAAUUAAAUUUCGCGAAAAGUGCAAAGCUAACUUAAAGUGCAAACUGCAAAGGUCUCACAAAGCCUGCAGACCAGGUACCCAAUUGCAAUUGUACUAAUCAGAAAAUUACUAUUUACAUUACAUGGAAACUAAUGAAGGCGUGAAAGCUUUUAGGUUGAAACAGAUGAUUACAAUGCCAGUGUUAUUACUAGUUACAGCUACUAAUGACACUAUCAAAUGGACUUAAUAAAGGAAUUCAAGUUAUAAAAUGAAAACACUAUUAUAACAAAUAAAGGUGUUUUGGACAUGAAAAAUCACCAGAAUUUGCACUGAACUUGGGCUAUGUUUCAAAUAAGUCUCACUUCAAGAGCAUGAAGCUUUCAGCUUUGGAACAUUGAGCUUUAAGAGAAAUUACAUGCAUUGGGCAUACUGCUGCUUGCUUUUCCCAACUACUUAAAAAGUACAAGUUGAACAAAUUUUCUUUACACAUCACAUUUUUUUUUUCAGCCAACACUGAGCAUGUGCAAUUUUUCCUGAAACAAAACCUUCUGGCAUAUGCAAAUACACGUGUAUGUAUCACAUAAGAACAGGGAGAUCGAACUAGGUACAUAAAGGUGACAGGGAUGUGUAUAUAACAUGCGCGAAAGAUGACAAUUAAUUGAUUUCUGUUUGUUCCAGAAAACAGAAAAUUGAAAUAUGGGAAACAUUUCCCAAGCAGUAAAACAAACACGAUCAAAGGGGUGAUCCAAUAAAUGUACUACUAAGCUCGCUUUUUAUUACCUGUGAACCACAUUCCGGUCAUGUAGAUAUUUCAAACCAUUUAAGAUUUGUCUUGUAUAUGCGGAGACAUGGGAAUCCCUCAAAUGGUAUUUCUGAUAGAGCCUUGCAAGUGAACCUUUUGUUGCUAGCUCAAGGAAGAUAUAAAGCUUAGCUUCAUCCUGGAACCAUUUAACAAAUUAGGACAGACAAGUUAAAAGCAAACCGUUCAAAACCAAUUUCUAGAAGAGCAAUAAGACCUACAUAAGAAGCUAGGAUAUUAUCAACUUGCAGACAUCUCAAUCCCUUUUCCCUAGGGGCAGGCUAAAACAAAAUAACUGACAAUACUCUUUAUCAAUUAGAUGGUUCCUGAGGGAUUAGGAGCCAAAUGUAAGGUGCAUGAGAAUAAGUGGAUAGUCUAUGAAAAAUAACAUAGAAAACAUGAAUGGUGCAUGACAAACAAUUAGUUGUUCCAAUGAAAUACUGUACGCACAAUGAAUUCAGUUUCAACUUUCAAGCACUGGAAAGCUCAACACAGCCGGGGGGGGGGGAGAGAAAACAGACACAAUGAUGACAUAAGCCAUAUAUAUCAUUUGAAACCCCAGUAUCUGCCAGAAACUUUUGCAGUCUAAAAGAUUUGUAUUAUUCAAUGUAGGGGCAAUGUUGCCUGCCCUUAGGUGGUCAAGAUAGGCUAUAAGUUCAUAACUAGAAUAUCCAAGAAGAAUAACAAGCUGAAGUAUUUAUUUCCUUCUAUGCGGAAAUAGAAAUUGCAAAAAGAAGCAGAAUUUAUAUCAAAACUCUACAUGUCUGGACAAGGAUCUGGAGGUAGUUGUGCCAUAUGCAUGAAUGUCUCUAUAUCAGAAAGGAUCCAGAUGUGCUGCAGUUUGUGAGAUGUGUGAUAAUGUAAAUAAGUGUUCUUAUUCAGGUCAAUAUUCCUAUUGCAGUCAAGAAAUGGAUAUCAAUGACUGUAACAUUGUCAACAGAAAAAUAAUCAAACUCAGAAAUCAUAAGCAUACCUUCUCUGUUCCAAGAUAUCGAACUAUAUUCUCGUGUUCAAAUGCUCUUAACAGGGAAAUCUCCUGGACCAAUAAACAUGGUAUUAGAAGUAGACUACAAUAUGGUCAUUAUCAUCUAUGCAAAAGCUGCAAGAGGUGGUGCUAGAACAUACAACUAUAGUAAGUUUAAAGUAUUUGCUGUACAGAAAAGUAGUUGAACUGUAUGCAGUCCAAAUGAAGAAGAUUGAUUCUUCCCACCUGCUCAAGUUGUAAAAUGCUCUGCUUCCCUUGGCUUCCUUGAUCCAACAAAGAAACCUCCUUUAUAGCAAAAAAGAAUCCAUCACUGUAGGAAAACCAAAAAGAAACAUCAGAGAAUUUAAACCAAGUCAAUGAAAGCAUAAAGAAAGGUAUUUCAAUAGUAACAUGUUCAUGUCCACUUCUCCCCUCUAAUUUCCCUGAUUCUACAAAUUUGGCUGAAAAGCAACAAAUAGUUGUACACAAGUCUUAUCAAGCAGAAAAGGAAGUCAACAAACAGCAGCAUUCACAGCUAGAUACAAAAGACUAGACCUCCCAGUUGUCCAAUAGUACUAUGACCCCAAUAUCUUCUUCCUUUUCUAUUUUUUUUUUUAAUUUUCAUGCACGGGCGCAAUUAUGUUCCCGUGAUCGCCAGAUAUUCGACAACAAAAUUUCAUGCUUGGAUUAAUUUUGUGAUUUUCUAUAAGAAUAGAUCAGAUUAUCAAUGGACACAGAAACACCCAUGACCAUGAAUACACAAAUUUUUCAUCAUUUGCACUCAACUAGCAUACUGAUCUUUCUCUUCAUUUCAUUCGGAUCAUGAGUUUAAAUUUAAAAUGCAGAAAGUGUCUUUUCCAG